CAACUUUCAACAACGGAUCUCUUGGCUCUCGCAUCGAUGAAGAACGCAGCGAAAUGCGAUAACUAAUGUGAAUUGCAGAAUUCAGUGAAUCAUCGAGUCUUUGAACGCACCUUGCACCCUUUGGUAUUCCUCAGGGUAUGCCUGUUUGAGUGUCAUUA
rnacentral:rRNA from 2 species